rnacentral:rRNA from 1 species
UACAGAGGUCUCGAGCGUUGUUCGGAUUCAUUGGGCGUAAAGGGUGCGUAGGUGGCGCUGUAAGUCGGGUGUGAAAUCCUGAGGCUUAACCUCGGAACUGCAUUCGAUACUGCGGUGCUUGAGGACUGGAGAGGAGACUGGAAUUCAUGGUGUAGCAGUGAAAUGCGUAGAUAUCGAGAGGAACACCUGCGGCGAAGGCGGGUUGCUGGGCUGACACUGACGCUGAUGCGCGAAAGCCAGGGGAGCGAACGGG